UGUGCUAAAGGACAGUCAAUCUGAUAAUAGAUAAGGUUCCUGAAUAAUGGGCAGGUGAGUCUAUCACAGUGUGGAUGAUAUGGAAAAAGGGAUGAUUCACACCCAAGGCAGGAUGAAGGAGAUGGCAGGAGAUUUCAUCACACUACUCAAUCUGGACCUAAGAAAUAGAAGAGGAAAACUUUCUUCAUAGUCUUACAUUGACCAUUACCAUAAAUAAUGUACUUUUGGCAAACAUUAAGAGACCAGUUGCUUUAGGUUUCCAAAUUGGAAAGCAGAUGAAAUUAUGAAGCUCUGGUUCUGUUCAGCAUUGGACCAACAAGAUGGUCAGAAGCUCUAUGGAGAUGUUGCAAAUUAAUUUUUCUAGCAAUGAUGGAAGCAGCCCCAAACAAAGAUGAUCUUCUAGGAUAAUGCCACUUUGACCUUCCUGGUCAUUCGCAAAUUAAAAUAACAUUCUCCAUCA